rnacentral:rRNA from 1 species
AUACGUAGGUGACAAGCGUUAUCCGGAUUUACUGGGCGUAAAGGGUGCGCAGGCGGCCAUUUAAGUCAGCGGUUAAAUCGUGGGGCUCAACCCCAUUCUGCCAUUGAUACUGGGUGGCUUGAUUGCGGUCGAGGUUGGCGGAAUUCGUUGUGUAGCGGUGAAAUGCAUAGAUAUGACGAAGAACACCGAUUGCGUAGGCAGCUGACCAGACCGCAAAUGACGCUCAUGCACGAAAGUGCGGGGAUCGAACAGGAUUAGAUACCCUGGUAGUCCGCACAGUAAACGAUGAAUACUUGUUUUCGGCGAUAUAAUGUCGGAGGCAAAGCGAAAGCGAUAAGUAUUCCACCUGGGGAGUACGCCGGCAACGGUGAAACUCAAAGGAAUUGACGGGG